CUUCACCGAGCCGAGCAGCAAAGGCAGUUCGCGGUCCUGGCCGUAGGUGGCCAGCAGUGCCUGGGCCUC
rnacentral:antisense_RNA from 1 species